AACCAACUUGAAAAAUAAUCACUCUCAGCAUUCAGAAACACCCAGCAGCACGUUUCUGCACACACACCAACUCCAGACACAACCUCCUCCUGCACAAAGGCACCUCGUUGGCCUGAGAGGAGAACACUGCCACCUCCACCUGCACUGCACUACCAUCAGGAUGAGUGCAUGCUACCUGGCUGACUCAGGAGGCCCUCGUGUCACAAGACAGCCACAAAGCUGGUUGUAAAAUAUAAUUUCCUACAGCUGUGAGUCAGUGACAGGAUCCUACCAAGACAUGUGCCCCGGUGCAUCAGGCCAGUCUCAUGAAGCAGCUCAGUACAUGUGCCACACCACAAGGUAUCAGGCUGGUUUCAGGAGCUCCUAGGGCUGAAACGAAGACGCGUUUCCUGGCGAUGCGCUGCCACGCUGAAAGGAAAACACUGGGCCUGGCCUGGCUUGUGAUAGCACUGUUACUCGCCUCCCUGGAACGAAGGCGCCUAGGUCACGUCGCUUAAUCUUUGGCUCACCAGGCGAACGCAACGGCCCCGCUCUCCUCAGGCAGCACACAGCUUCGAAACACACCACACGCACCCAGCGCGAGCGCUCCCCCCAAAAAAAUGUACGUUAUAUUUAAGAAAACAAACCAGAAACACCGAA